rnacentral:rRNA from 1 species
AGCGAACGCUGGCGGCAGGCUUAACACAUGCAAGUCGAGCGGGCACCUUCGGGUGUCAGCGGCAGACGGGUGAGUAACACGUGGGAACGUGCCCUUCGGUUCGGAAUAACUCAGGGAAACUUGAGCUAAUACCGGAUACGCCCUUUUGGGGAAAGGUUUACUGCCGAAGGAUCGGCCCGCGUCUGAUUAGCUAGUUGGUGGGGUAACGGCCUACCAAGGCGACGAUCAGUAGCUGGUCUGAGAGGAUGAUCAGCCACACUGGGACUGAGACACGGCCCAGACUCCUACGGGAGGCAGCAGUGGGGAAUAUUGGACAAUGGGCGCAAGCCUGAUCCAGCCAUGCCGCGUGAGUGAUGAAGGCCUUAGGGUUGUAAAGCUCUUUUGUCCGGGACGAUAAUGACGGUACCGGAAGAAUAAGCCCCGGCUAACUUCGUGCCAGCCGCCGCCGUAA